ACCAGCUUGCCAGCCCCUCCCGCUCCAGCUAGUCUGGACUCCUCAGUCAGCUGGGGUUCUCCACCCUUGGACGCCCUGAGCUCCUCCCUCAGCGACAGGUGCAGCAGGGGGCAGGAGACAGGAGGCCGUGGAGGCCCCAGUGACAAGAACAGAAACCAGAGCCCCAGGCCAGGACAGCACUGGACAGGAAUGGGGAGGAGACAGACAGAAGGAGACAGACAGAGGAGAAGACACACAGGAAGAGAGCAAAGGCAGAAUGUCGGAGACAGAGAUGGGGCUACGUCCUCCCUCGCCCUUCCCACAGGCAACACAUCUCUCUCGUCUCGGGGCUGAAAGCAAGAAGGGGAGAGGGAAGACCUUGUAAAUGAAGCAGGUGAGAGUUCUGCAGCUACACGUCUCAGUUUCAAUUCUCCUCGAGUCCCUGAUGCAGAACGAGCACCUCCGGAGGGGAACAAACCGUAGCUGGCCCAUGCCCUCCGGGUCUUGCAAGGAGCUGACCACCAUCCACAGAAAUAAGAGGACCCGUCGUGAGACGGAAAGUGAGAGCGGCUGAUUCCCCCCUACUGGAGAACACAGCAGCACCAGGCCAGCCUGGCCUUUCGCCUGACGCCCGCGUUUAAGACACCAUCCCUUUAUCUGGCUUUCAUUAGAGCCUCGGCCGCGCCUCUUUUGUGGGAGAGACUUAUGGGAACCCAGGCAGUUUCCCAGCCGCUGUGAUGUUGCUAAAGAUUAAAAAGGAGCUUUGAAGCUGUACCAGUUCUCUCUGCGCCCCCUCGGUACAGGGCCUCAGAAAGACCCAAGCCAUCUGGCAAACCUGACAUAAAGACAAAAUAAAGUGAUUGAGACUGGCUCUUCAAAGCCACAAUGGCA